rnacentral:rRNA from 1 species
CAAAAACAUAUCUUUUUUAAGAAAGUAAAAAGUGUAAUCUGCCCAGUGAUUAUACAGCAUAAUAAUAUAUUAUUAACUUAUAAUUAAACGGCCGCUGUAUUCUUGACGGUGAUAAUGUAGGAAAAUAAUUAGUCAAUUAAUUGUUGAACGUAGAUGAAUGAUUGAACGAAAUUUCCACUGUCUUAUUUAUAAUAUAUUGAAAUUAAUAUAAUAGUGAAGAAGCUAUUUAAAAUUGUAAGACGAAAAGACCCUGUAAAGCUUAACUAUAUAUAUUAAUAAUUUAUGCUAAUAUACGCAAUUAUAUUAGUACUAGAUUUAUUAAUUGGGUAGUUUGGUUGGGGCAACAACAUUUUAAAAUUAAAAAAUGUAUAUUAAAAUAAUAUUAUUAUUUAUUGUUUAAUUUAUAAAUUUAACAAUUAUAAUUUAGAUAUAAUGACCUAUCUUUAUACUAUAAAAUUUUAUGAGAUAAUAAAUAAAUAAAAGUUACUUCAGGGAUAACAGGUUAAUUUUAUUUGAGAGAUGAUAUUAAAAAUAAAGUUUGACACCUCGAUGUUGAAUUAAGUUAUCCUAGUGUUGCAGCAGAUACUAAGGGUUGGUCUGUUCGACCAUUAAAAACUUACAUGAUUUGAG